UACACUCCUGCGGGAGGCAGCAGUGGGGAAUUUUGGACAAUGGGCGAAAGCCUGAUCCAGCAAUGCCGCGUGUGUGAAGAAGGCCUUCGGGUUGUAAAGCACUUUUGUCCGGAAAGAAAUCCUUGGCUCUAAUACAGUCGGGGGAUGACGGUACCGGAAGAAUAAGCACCGGCUAACUACGUGCCAGCAGCCGCGGUAAUACGUAGGGUGCGAGCGUUAAUCGGAAUUACUGGGCGUAAAGCGUGCGCAGGCGGUUUGCUAAGACCGAUGUGAAAUCCCCGGGCUCAACCUGGGAACUGCAUUGGUGACUGGCAGGCUAGAGUAUGGCAGAGGGGGGUAGAAUUCCACGUGUAGCAGUGAAAUGCGUAGAGAUGUGGAGGAAUACCGAUGGCGAAGGCAGCCCCCUGGGCCAAUACUGACGCUCAUGCACGAAAGCGUGGGGAGCAAACAGGAUUAGAAACCCGAGUAGUCCCA
rnacentral:rRNA from 1 species